GCAAGUGAAUCCCUUCGGGGUGAAACUUGUGGAUCGAGCGGCGGACGGGUGAGUAACACGUGGGCAACCUGCCUGUAAGACUGGGAUAACUCCGGGAAACCGGGGCUAAUACCGGAUAACACUUUUCUUCACCUGAAGGGAAGUUAAAAGGCGGCUGAGUGAAAGUUUACUUUCACCCUGGCUGUCACUUGCAGAUGGGCCCGCGGCGCAUUAGCUAGUUGGUAGGGUAAUGGCCUACCAAGGCAACGAUGCGUAGCCGACCUGAGAGGGUGAUCGGCCACACUGGGACUGAGACACGGCCCAGACUCCUACGGGAGGCAGCAGUAGGGAAUCUUCCGCAAUGGACGAAAGUCUGACGGAGCAACGCCGCGUGAACGAUGAAGGUUUUCGGAUCGUAAAGUUCUGUUGUUAGGGAAGAACAAGUACCGUUCUAACAGGACGGUACCUUGACGGUACCUAACGAGGAAGCCCCGGCUGGGGACCCGCACAAGCGGUGGAGCAUGUGGUUUAAUUUGAAGCAACGCGAAGAACCUUACCAGGUCUUGACAUCCGCUGACAACCCUAGAGAUAGGGCGUUCCCUUCGGGGACAGCGUGACAGGUGGUGCAUGGUUGUCGUCAGCUCGUGUCGUGAGAUGUUGGGUUAAGUCCCGCAACGAGCGCAACCCUUGAUUUUAGUUGCCAGCAUUCAGUUGGGCACUCUAAAGUGACUGCCGGUGAUAAACCGGAGGAAGGUGGGGAUGACGUCAAAUCAUCAUGCCCCUUAUGACCUGGGCUACACACGUGCUACAAUGGAUGGUACAAAGGGCAGCGAAGCCGCGAGGUGAAGCAAAUCCCAUAAAACCAUUCUCAGUUCGGAUUGUAGGCUGCAACUCGCCUACAUGAAGCCGGAAUCGCUAGUAAUCGUGGAUCAGCAUGCCACGGUGAAUACGUUCCCGGGUCUUGUACACACCGCCCGUCACACCACGAGAGUUAGCAACACCCGAAGUCG
rnacentral:rRNA from 1 species